rnacentral:pre_miRNA from 1 species
AGCCCAUAUCUAAAGUAGAGUAGAUUAGUAUAGUCAGCUGAUCCUUCUAUUCUGCUGUACUUCAAAAUUGGGCCC